rnacentral:miRNA from 12 species
UACUCAGGGAGGCGUCAUUCACA